UACAGAGGGUGCGAGCGUUGUCCGGAAUCACUGGGCGUAAAGGGCGCGUAGGUGGUGGCUUAAGCGUGCGGUGAAAGCUCGGAGCUCAACUCCGAGUCGGCCGUGCGAACUGGGCUCACUGGAGCACUGUAGAGGCGGGUGGAAUUCCGGGUGUAGCGGUGGAAUGCGUAGAGAUCCGGAAGAACACCAGUGGCGAAGGCGGCCCGCUGGGCAGUGGCUGACGCUGAGGCGCGACAGCGUGGGGAGCAAACAGG
rnacentral:rRNA from 1 species